UAACAUAUCUAUAAGAAGAUGCUGUUAAAAUACAGAUCCUGAUUCAACAGGUCUAGGUAGGUUCUUAUGUUCUGCAUUUCUAGCAAACUCCCAAUUGAUGCCAAU
rnacentral:pre_miRNA from 1 species